AGGACGAACGCUGGCGGCGUGCUUAACACAUGCAAGUCGAGCGGUAAGGCCUUUCGGGGUACACGAGCGGCGAACGGGUGAGUAACACGUGGGUGAUCUGCCCUGCACUCUGGGAUAAGCCUGGGAAACUGGGUCUAAUACCGGAUAUGACCUGCUCUCGCAUGGGGGUGGGUGGAAAGAUUUAUCGGUGCAGGAUGGGCCCGCGGCCUAUCAGCUUGUUGGUGGGGUAAUGGCCUACCAAGGCGACGACGGGUAGCCGACCUGAGAGGGUGACCGGCACACUGGGACUGAGACACGGCCCAGACUCCUACGGGAGGCAGCAGUGGGGAAUAUUGCACAAUGGGCGAAAGCCUGAUGCAGCGACGCCGCGUGAGGAUGAAGGCCUUCGGGUUGUAAACCUCUUUCAGCAGGACGAAGCGCAAGUGACGGUACCUGCAGAAGAAGCACCGGCUAACACGUGCCAGCAAGCCGC
rnacentral:rRNA from 1 species